rnacentral:rRNA from 1 species
CCUACGGGAGGCUGCAGUGAGGAAUAUUGGUCAAUGGACGAGAGUCUGAACCAGCCAAGUAGCGUGAAGGAUGACUGCCCUAUGGUUUGUAAACUUCUUUUAUAAGGGAAUAAAUCGUACCACUUGUGCCUUUUUGCAUGUACUUUAUGAAUAAGGAUCGGCUAAAUCCGUGCCAGCAGCCGCGGUAAUACGGAGGGUCCGAGCGUUAUCCGGAUUUAUUGGGCUUAAAGGGAGCGUAGAUGGGUUGUUAAGUUAGUUGUGAAAGUUUGGGGCUCAACCGGAAAAUUGCAUUUGAUACUGGCCAGCUUGAGUACUGUAGAGGUAGGCGGAAUUCGUGGUGUAGCGGUGAAAUGCUUAGAUAUCACGAAGAACCCCGAUUGCGAAGGCAGCUUACUAGACAGUGACUGACGUUGAUGCGCGAAAGUGUGGGUAGCAAACAGGAUUAGAUACCCGAGUAGUC